ensembl:snRNA RNVU1-31 RNA, variant U1 small nuclear 31
AUACUUACCUGGCAGGGGAGAUACCAUGAUCACGAAGGUGGUUUUCCCUGGGCGAGGCUUAUCCAUUGCACUCCGGAUGUGCUGACCCCUGCGAUUUCCCCAAAUGUGGGAAACUUGACUGCAUAAUUUGUGGUAGUGGGGGACUGCGUUCGCGCUUUCCCCUG